AACGCACCUUGCGCUCCUUGGUAUUCCGAGGAGCACGCCUGUUCGAGUGUCGUGAAGUUCUCAAGCUAGGUGCUUUUUUGCUUGACGAAAAUGCGGUUAGCUUGGUAUUGGGCUUUGCCGUGUCCCUUCAUUUGGAACGGCUGGUCUUAAAGACAUUAGCUUUGACCCUUCACGUGGUAUUGGUUCUACUCAGCGUGAUAAUAAUCUAACCGCUGAGGACAUCUUUUGGGGUGGCCAAUUCUUGUUGGGGUUGCUUUCUAAUCUGGUUUGCAGGAUUCUUGAAUCCUGCUCCAUUUUUCAAUUUUGACCUCGAAUCAGGUGGGACUACCCGCUGAACUUAA
rnacentral:misc_RNA from 1 species